AGUGAUCCUACGGGAGGCAGCAGUGAGGAAUAUUGCACAAUGGGCGAAAGCCUGAUGCAGCAACGCCGCGUGAGCGAUGAAGGCCUUCGGGUCGUAAAGCUCUGUCCUAAGGGAAGAUAAUGACGGUACUUGAGGAGGAAGCCCCGGCUAACUACGUG
rnacentral:rRNA from 1 species